GGCGUAAUACCGGAUAAUACAUGAAACCGCAUGGUUUCAUGAUGAAAGACGGUUUUGCUGUCACUUAUAGAUGGACCCGCGGCGUAUUAGCUAGUUGGUAAGGUAACGGCUUACCAAGGCAACGAUACGUAGCCGACCUGAGAGGGUGAUCGGCCACACUGGAACUGAGACACGGUCCAG
rnacentral:rRNA from 1 species